AUGGGCCAGCAACCUCACCUGCGGCACCCAGCCUCGGCACAGGACUCCCCGGCCGGCGACGGCGAGCCGCUCCUCGAAGCCCUCGGGCAGGCCGCCCGAGGUGGAGUCCGUCGGCGCCCUGAACGCCCAGAGGAAAGGCAGCCCGGCCGCCUCCAAGCCGAGCGCGAUCCGUUGCAGCUGCGCGCUCGUCAGCUUCACCUCGCUGCCGAAGGCCGCGUACACGACGGAGCUCGGAGCCUGUCCGUCCAGCCAGCGCAGCGUCGCCUCGUGGCCGGCCACGUCUUGCUGCGGCGCCGGAGGGAACAGGCCGACCGGGAUCACCGGCUUCUCGUAGAGCUCGCCGAGCAGCCGCAGCCACUCCGGCUCGAACUCCGAGCUGCUCCUGAUGCCCACGAGCCGGCACCCUUCGAUGGUCUUGGCGAACCGGUAGCCCUCCGACACGCCGGAGUCGUCCGGGACCAAGCCCGGCUCGAACAGCUCGCGCGCCUCGUAGCCGCGGUACGCCACGGUGGUCGGGAACGGGACGUACUCGGGGACGACUGUCAAGUGCGCCGGCUCCGUCUUGGCGUGCCUCCCGAGGCCAAGGAGCGUCUCAGGGGUCCCGAAGAAGCUGAGCGCCGCGGCGCCGAACAGGCUGAUGAACGCGCACGGCACGCCAUGCCUCGCCACGGCCGCCGGCGCCCAGUACGACGCGUAGUCGACGAGGAUCCAGUCCGGCCUCGAUCCCGCCGCCUCCUCCUCCUGGAGCAGCCGCGAGAGCUCGCGCUCGAAGGCAGCGUCGUAGGCGCGGCGCAGGUACGGGCGGAGGUCGUCGGAGGGGAGGUCGAUGGUCGCCUCGGCGUGCUCCGGCAGGCGGUCGACACGCGGCAGCGGGACGUCCACGACGCGGAUGAGGCCGGCGAGGCCCGGCGGGAUGUCGAUGAGCCGGCGGGUGUUCCUCGGCGUGGAGAGGAGGGUGACCCGGUGGCCCUGCCGGGCCACCCGCUUGGCGAACUCCGUGAACGGGAGCACGUGGCCGAAGGCCAGCCAUGGCAGCAUCACGACGUGCAUCUUGCCGCCGGCCGUGGCCUCCAUCCCAGGAAAUUAAGCUUUGGCAACGGAGGGCAGGAUUUCCCAGCUGCUAGAUGCUCGCUGUUGAUCCUUUCCGUGGAGUUCACAGAUUUUGCGGAUUCUCGCGUUUGA
rnacentral:rRNA from 1 species